AUUGUGUGUGUGGGGUACUGAGAUGAGGUAGUCAUUGUAUGUGUGGGGUACAGAGAUGAGGUAGUCAUUGUGUGUGUGGGGUACAGAGAUGAGGUAGUCAUUGUGUGUGUGGGGUACAGAGAUGAGGUAGUCAUUGUGUGUGUGGGGUACAGAGAUGAGGUAGUCAUUGUGUGUGUGGGGUACAGAGAUGAGGUAGUCAUUGUGUGUGUGGGGUACAGAGAUGAGGUAGUCAUUGUAUGUGUGGGGUACAGAGAUGAGGUAGUCAUUGUAUGUGUGGGGUACAGAGAUGAGGUAGUCAUUGUAUGUGUGGGGUACAGAGAUGAGGUAGUCAUUGUGUGUGUGAGGUACAGAGAUGAGGUAGUCAUUGUAUGUGUGGGGUACAGAGAUGAGGUAGUCAUUGUGUGUGUGGGGUACAGAGAUGAGGUAGUCAUUGUAUGUGUGGGGUACAGAGAUGAGGUAGUCAUUGUAUGUGUGGGGUACAGAGAUGAGGUAGUCAUUGUGUGUGUGGGGUACAGAGAUGAGGUAGUCAUUGUAUGUGUGGGGUACAGAGAUGAGGUAGUCAUUGUGUGUGUGGGGUACAGAGAUGAGGUAGUCAUUGUGUGUGUGAGGUAGUCAUUGUAUGUGUGGGGUACAGAGAUGAGGUAGUCAUCACUCCUGGAUGCUGGCCUUCUUGGCAGAGUUCCUCUGUCCAGUGUCUGUGUUCUUUUGCCCAUCUUAAUCUUUCUCUUUGAAGGGUACUAUUUAAUGAAGCUGCCAGUUGAGGACUUGUGAGGCUUCUGUUUCUCAAACUAGACACUCUAAUGUACUUGUCCUCUUGCUCAGUUGUGCACCGGGGCCUCCCACUCCUCUUUCUAUUCUGGUCAGGGCCAGGUUGAUCUGUUCUGUGAAGGGAGUAGUACACAGCGUUGUACGAGAUCUUCAGUUUCUUUCUCACAUGGAAUAGCCUUCAUUUCACAGAACAAGAAUAGACUGACGAGUUUCAGAAGAAAGCUCUUUGUUUCUGGUCAUUUUGAGCCUGUAAUCGAACCCACAAAUGCUGACGCUCCAGAUACUCAACUAGUCUAAAGAAGGCCAGUUUUAUUGCGUCUUCAGAAUCAGAACAGCUGUGAACAUAACUGCAAAAGAGUUUUCUAAUGAUCAAUUAGCCUUUUAAAAUGAUAAACUUGGAUUAGCUAACACAAUGUGCCAUUGGAACACAGGAGUGAUGGUUGCUGAUAAUGGGCCUCUGUACGCCUAUGUAGAUAUUCCAUUAAAAAAUUGUCGAAUGACUUGGCAAGGGGUCAAAUGACUUGGCCAGGAGUCAAAUGGGGUCGAAUGACUUGGCCAGGGGUCAAAUGGGGUCAAAUGACUUGGCCAGGGGUCAAAUGGGGUCGAAUGACUUGGCAAGGGGUCAAAUGACUUGGCAA